GGGCAACCCUGAUCCAGCAAUGCCGCGUGUGUGAUGAAGGCCCUAGGGUUGUAAAGCACUUUCAAUGGUGAAGAUGAUGACGGUAGCCAUAGAAGAAGCCCCGGCUAACUUCGUGCCAGCAGCCGCGGUAAUACGAAGGGGGCGAGCGUUGUUCGGAAUUACUGGGCGUAAAGGGCGCGCAGGCGGCCAAUCCAGUCAGGUGUGAAAGCCCCGGGCUUAACCUGGGAAUUGCACUUGAUACUGAUUGGCUAGAAAACGGAAGAGGGCAGUGGAAUUCCCAGUGUAGAGGUGAAAUUCGUAGAUAUUGGGAAGAACACCAGUGGCGAAAGCGGCUGCCUGGUCCGAUUUUGACGCUGAGGUGCGAAAGCGUGGGUAGCAAACAGGAUUAGAUACCCUGGUAGUCCACGCCGUAAACGAUGAAUGCUAGUUGUCGGGAGGUAGGCCUUUCGGUA
rnacentral:rRNA from 1 species